UACGUAGGUGGCAAGCGUUGUCCGGAUUUACUGGGCGUAAAGGGCGUGCAGGCGGUUUGUUAAGUCUAGGGUGAAAGCUCCCGGCUCAACUGGGAGAGGUCCUUGGAUACUGGCAGACUUGAGGAGGGUAGAGGAGAGUGGAAUUCCCGGUGUAGUGGUGAUAUGCGUAGAUAUCGGGAGGAACACCAGUGGCGAAGGCGGCUCUCUGGAACGGUACUGACGCUGAGACGCGAAAGCGUGGGGAGCGAACAGG
rnacentral:rRNA from 1 species